UCCAUUACUCAGUUCGUAGAGCAUAAGGCUCUUAACCUUGUGGUCGUGGGUUCAAGCCCUAUGAUGGAG
rnacentral:tRNA from 1 species